rnacentral:rRNA from 1 species
UUGAACGCUGGCGGCAUGCUUUACACAUGCAAGUCGAACGGUAACAGGCCUUCGGGUGCUGACGAGUGGCGAACGGGUGAGUAAUGCAUCGGAACGUGCCCAGAGGUGGGGGAUAACGCAGCGAAAGCUGUGCUAAUACCGCAUGUGAUCUGAGGAUGAAAGCGGGGGACCAGGCAGCAAUGUUUGGCCUCGCGCCUUUGGAGCGGCCGAUGUCAGAUUAGGUAGUUGGUGGGGUAAAGGCCUACCAAGCCGACGAUCUGUAGCUGGUCUGAGAGGACGACCAGCCACACUGGGACUGAGACACGGCCCAGACUCCUACGGGAGGCAGCAGUGGGGAAUUUUGGACAAAGGGCGCAAGCCUGAUCCAGCAAUGCCGCGUGCGGGAAGAAGGCCUUCGGGUUGUAAACCGCUUUUGUACGGAACGAAAAGGCUCUGGCUAAUACCUGGGGCUGAUGACGGUACCGUAAGAAUAAGCACCGGCUAACUACGUG